rnacentral:rRNA from 1 species
GUAGGGAAUCUUCGGCAAUGGACGAAAGUCUGACCGAGCAACGCCGCGUGAGUGAAGAAGGUUUUCGGAUCGUAAAACUCUGUUGUUAGAGAAGAACAAGGAUGAGAGUAAAAUGUUCAUCCCUUGACGGUAUCUAACCAGAAAGCCACGGCUAACUACGUGCCAGCAGCCGCGGUAAUACGUAGGUGGCAAGCGUUGUCCGGAUUUAUUGGGCGUAAAGCGAGCGCAGGCGGUUCUUUAAGUCUGAUGUGAAAGCCCCCGGCUCAACCGGGGAGGGUCAUUGGAAACUGGAGAACUUGAGUGCAGAAGAGGAGAGUGGAAUUCCAUGUGUAGCGGUGAAAUGCGUAGAUAUAUGGAGGAACACCAGUGGCGAAGGCGACUCUCUGGUCUGUAACUGACGCUGAGGCUCGAAAGCGUGGGGAGCAA